rnacentral:lncRNA from 1 species
GAAGAGAACAAUACUUCGUUAUUUGGAAAGGUGUCAUGAAGAUACUGUUGCGGUGAGUCAGGAACCUCCUUUUGGUGGUCGUGAUGCUCCACCGCCAGUCCCGGGGGUUUCAGGUUCAUCGAGUACUACCGUUACAAAAAGCACAAAUAAACCACAGGAUGAGGAUGGGUCAGCUAAACCUUCAUCUUCGCCGCCCAAGGAUGCUUAAAGUCCUCCUAGAUGGUACUCAGUGAUAAGAAGUUAUGAGAUUUGUAUGAUGUUUGUUAUGCUUCAUAAUUAUAUG